AUUAAAAAUCUUCCAACAAACAAAAGUCCAGGACCAGAUGGCUUCACAGGUGAAUUCUAUCAAACAUUUAGAGAAGAGCUAAUACCCAUCCUUCUCAAACUCUUCCAAAAAAUUUCAGAGGAAGGAAAAUUCCCAAACUCCUUCUGUGAGGCCACCAUCACCCUGAUACCAAAGGCAGACAACGAUACUACAAAAAAAAGAAAAUUACAGAACAAUAUCACUGAUGAAUAUAGAUGCAAAAAUCCUCAACAAAAUACUAGCAAACAGAAUCCAACAACACAUUAAAAGGAUCAUACACCACGAUCAAGUGGGAUUUAUCCCAGGGAUGCAAGGAUUCUUCAAUAUACGCAAAUCAAUCAAUGUGAUACAGCAUAUUAACAAAUUGAAGAAUAAAAACCAUAUAAUCAUCUCAGUUGAUGCAGAAAAAGCUUUUGACAAAAUUCAACACCCAUUUAUGAUAAAAACUCUCCAGAAAAUGGGAAUAAAGGGAACCUACUUCAACAUAAUAAAGGCCAUAUACGACAAACCCACAGCAAACAUCAUUCUCAAUGGUGAAAAACUGAAAGCAUUUCCUCUAAGAUCAGGAAUAAGACAAGGAUGCCCACUCUCACCACUAUUAUUCAACAUAGUUUUGGAAGUCCUAGCGAUGGCAAUCAGAGAAGAAAAAGAAAUAAAAGGAAUACAAACUGGAAAAGAAGAAAUAAAGCUGUCACUGUUUGCAGAUGACAUACUAUACAUAGACAAUCCUAAAGAUGCUACCAGAAAACUACUAGAGCUAAUCAAUGAAUUUGGUAAAGUAGCAGGAUACAAAAUUAAUGCAUAGAAAUCUCUUGCAUUCCUAUACACUAAUGAUGAUAAAUCUGAAAGAGAAAUUAAGGAAACACUCCCAUUUACCAUUGCAACAAAGAGAAUAAAAUACCUAGGAAUAAACCUACCUAGGGAGACAAAACACCUGUAUGCAGAAAACUAUGACACUGAUGAAAGAAAUUAAAGAUGAUACCAACAGAUGGAGAGAUAUACCAUGUUCUUGGAUUGGAAGAAUCGAUAUUGUGAAAAUGACUAUACUACCCAAAGCAAUCUACAGAUUCAAUGCAAUUCCUAUCAAAUUACCAAUGGCAUUUUUUACAGAACUAGAACAAAAAAUCUUAAAAUUUGUAUGGAGACACAAAAGACUCCAAAUAGCCAAAGCAGUCUUGAGGGGAAAAACGGAGCUGGAGGAAUCAGACUCCCUGACUUCAGACUAAACUACAAAGCUACGGUAAUCAAGACAUAUGGUACUGGCACAAAAACAGAAAUAUAGAUCAGUGGAACAAGAUAGAAAGCCCAGAGAUAAACCCACACACCUAUGGUCAACUAAUCUAUGACAAAGGAGUCAAGGAUAUACAAUGGAGAAAAGACAGUCUCUUCUAUAAGUGGUGCUGGGAAAACUGGACAGCUACAUGUAAAAGAAUGAAAUUAGAACACUUUCUAACACCACACACAAAAAUAAACUCAAAAUGGAUUCGAGACCUAAAUGUAAGACCGGACACUGUAAAACUCUUAGAGGAAAACAUAGGAAGAACACUCUUUGACAUAAGUCACAGCAAGAUCUUUUUUAUCCACCUCCUAGAGUAAUGGAAAUAAAAACAAAAAUAAACAAAUGGGACCUAAUGAAACUUCAAAGCUUUUGCACAGCAAAGGAAACCAUAAACAAGACCAAAAGACAACGCUCAGAAUGGGAGAAAAUAUUUGCAAACGAAUCAUCGGACAAAGGAUUAAUCUCCAAAAUAUAUAAACAGCUCAUGCAGCUCAAUAUUAAAAAAACAAACAACCCAAUCCAAAAAUGGGCAGAAGACCUAAAUAGACAUUUCUCCAAAGAAGACAUACAGAUGGCCGAGAAGCACAUGAAAAGCUGCUCAACAUCACUAAUUAUUAGAGAAAUGCAAAUCAAAACUACAAUGAGGUACCACCUCACACCGGUCAGAAUGGCCUUCAUUAAAAAGUCUACAAAUAACAAAUGCUGGAGAGGGUGUGGAGAAAAGGGACACCU